rnacentral:lncRNA from 1 species
AAGAGGAAAGUACCAUUAAUUCACAGGGUGCAAAAUAAUAUUCGCCUGGCUGAGAAGAAUGCUUAUGACCCAGUUCUCAUAUCGAUAGGCCCAUAUCAUCAUGGUACUCCUUCACUUGCUGCUGCAGAAAAAGACAAAUGGGCUUCUCUUGACUACAUCUUAAAGUUAAACCAAGAAAGAAAUUUGCAGGAUUACCUACAUGUUUUGAGUUCACUAACAGAUCGUGCCAGAAACACAUAUUCCGAGGAAAUUGAAAUGGACGAGGAUAAGUUUUUACAGAUGUUAUUGCUUGAUGGAUGCUUCAUAAUUGUUUCUCUUUAUGGAACAGCUGGACUAUUUGUGAGAAAACAAGAAAACAAUCUAGAUAGAAAGGAAAGAGGAACAUUGAUAGACAAGGCUGUUACAGGUAGUUCAAAAAACAAAGCAGAGGUAUCAGAGGUUGAGUUAACUGAUUUCAAUGCUGAGGAGAGUAUUCAGAGGGGUAAGUCUGUGUAUACUUCGGAAGACAGAUGUGAAGAUAAAGGGCCAUGUUAUAAUUCUUUUGUUGCGCAUGACCUUCUCUUACUAGAGAAUCAAAUUCCUUUUUUCAUUGUCAAGGGAAUAUAUGAGCUCCUUGUUUCUGAUGAUAGCACUUCCAGAUUACUUACUGACAAUAUUGGUGAAUGUAUUGAAGGAGUUUUAUUUAAUUACCCCAAAUCUAUCAAAGAGUUCGAAAGGCCUGUAGAUUUUCACCAUUUGGUCCACUUGUGUCAUAUGUAUUUCAGACCAAGGGCAGAGGAGCAUCAACACUGUGCAGGAAUACAGUACUUUGGUUAUUUUCGUAAGAAGUACUUUAAAGUUGGGAAUCAACUAGAAGAAAAUCAUUGGGUGGGAACAGAUAAGCAAAACUUCAGUUUACACGGUGAACCACAAAUAUUACGCUGGCGCCGAGCAGAACAAUACCAUGACGCUGGCAUUGAAUUUAAGAAAAGACCGUUCGAUCAUAAGAGUCCUCAUUCACUUCUGGACAUAAAUUUUGUACAUGGGGUGGUGGAAAUUCCCUUUUUAAUGAUUGAUGACAAAACUAGCUUUCUUUUCAGGAAUAUAGUUGCAGUUGAACAGUCAUGCCCUCAGUUUGGGAAUUAUUUCACUGCUUAUGUUUGUUUUGUUUCUCAGCUUCUCAGUUUGCCGAAGGACGUGACAAUACUCGCUAAGAGAGGGAUCAUUGUCCACCAAAUGCAUAGUGAUGAUGAAGUGUCUGUCCUUUUCACCAAACUUGGUAAAAAUGUGGAUUUUGAUGUGAAUGGAAAGUACUAUCUCAGGCACUUGUGCCAUGUAAUGGAAGAGCACUACCAAAGUCGCCUGAACAGGUGA